rnacentral:rRNA from 1 species
GACGAACGCUGGCGGCGUGCUUAACACAUGCAAGUCGAACGGAAAGGCCCUGCUUUUGUGGGGUGCUCGAGUGGCGAACGGGUGAGUAACACGUGAGUAACCUGCCCUUGACUUUGGGAUAACUUCAGGAAACUGGGGCUAAUACCGGAUAGGAGCUCCUGCUGCAUGGUGGGGGUUGGAAAGUUUCGGCGGUUGGGGAUGGACUCGCGGCUUAUCAGCUUGUUGGUGGGGUAGUGGCUUACCAAGGCUUUGACGGGUAGCCGGCCUGAGAGGGUGACCGGCCACAUUGGGACUGGGAUAGGGCCCAGACUCCUCCGGGAGGCAGCAGUGGGGAAUAUUGAACAAUGGGCGGAAGCCUGAUGCAGCAACGCCGCGUGCGGGAUGACGGCCUUCGGGUUGUAAACCGCUUUCGCCUGUGACGAAGCGUGAGUGACGGUAAUGGGUAAAGAAGCACCGGCUAACUACGUG